UUUUUUAAUAGCACAUUUUUAAUGGUACAGUUUUUCACCAACAUCCCAAAAAGAAGAGAAGGCCUUACCAGCAAAAUGCAGUGGGACUCUGCACCAGAAAUAAAGAGGGUGUGGGAACGGUCUUCUGGAAAUGUUUAUUCACAUUUACCUAGGUUUACCGGGUUAAACGCCAAAUUCUACAACGGAGUCGACAUACUCUGAUCUCUCAGAAAUCAGAGUCUUUUUAAUCACUUUCUUUCACAUAAAUAGUUUGGGUUUCUAAAUCUCUGCCUUUCCAUUAUAAAUACAGCUCAUUCACAUUUUGUUAAAACACUCCAUGUUACUUCUUGGAUUCCAAUUACCCAACAGAAGGUGCAUUGAAUUUGCCUGGGAAACAAGGACAAUGUCUGUUUGUAAAAAUUUAUGGCAUUCCCUCCCUCCCCUCCGAGUGUUUCAGACAUCUAAGAAAGUCAAACCCUGGGGGAAAAUAUAAACAGGCUGCUUGGAAUAGACACACAAUUACAUAUCUUAUUUGUAAAAAAUACUGCCACCAUCUUGCCAGGCAGUGCAAAAAGAAAACAUUUAUCCCCACAUAAUUCACACAAACAUUUUUUUCCUUCACCCUCACCAAUGCCUAAAUGGCUUAAAUGAUAAAUACAUCAUUUGGUGGAAAAAUACCAUGGUUGCAGGUGUUAAGGUUCCAAGCGUAAACUGGUGAUAUUUAUUAAGCGAGGCAGUAAAUGUUAGAUGGAUCAAUAAGCCUAACAGAAACGAACACAAAAAUCUUAAAAAUAGCAGAGCAAGAGAAUAUAUUUAAACAAAUUCUUCCUGGUGGUUGGAAAAUGCAUUCAAGUCCCUAGAAGGCAAGAGACUUUAUCAUAUAUACGUCUGCAUAUACACAUAAACAUAUGUGUCUUGCAUGAAACCUUGCACCUGUAAGCACCUCAAAGGUCGAAUAAAACUGAUUACACGGGGUGCCCGGAGGAAAGAAUUCAGGAUUUGGAAUCAAACAUAUCUGAGUUAGAAUUCUGUAUUUGCUAUUCUUAGCUGUUUGAUUUGGGGCAAAAGAUGCUGCCUCUCUGAGCCUUGAUUGCUUUCCUCGAGUAUAAAUGAGGGAAAUAAUGCCUCUCUUGUAAGAUUGCCAAGAAGAUGAGCUUGUACCUGGCACACAGGGUGCACUAGAGAAAGGAAAUCUGUCAGCAUCAAUCAUUUAAUUGCUGCAGUCACCAGACGCCGAGUUCCCAUUCUCUCCCCUGUACUGUGCCUUCAAGGGACCCUGGGCAUGCCUUGUUCUUGGUGUACUAAGUGCAUAUUUCAACGCACAUAUUUUUGUUUCUAUUGCUCAACUUAAUUUACAUUGUGAACCCUCACUCUGCCUGCUGGUAUAUACCUAAGCUCAGGCAAGUCGAGGUCCUUCCAUCAUCUUUUCUCCAGGGUUAUGCUAUGAUUUAGAAUGUGAUAUAAAAGGAAGGUAGAAGUUUUCCGUUACUGUGAUAAAUAUGAUUAUCCCAAUAAGGUGAUGAACACUAUUACAAUAGGAUAAGGAUAUUUUGAAAUAUUAACAGCACUUCUCUAGAACCCCCCACUUCGGCUCCAUUUUAGCACUAUGAGAUUCUUCACCAAAAGGAUGAAAAAGCAAAGUAAAAGUUUUCAAGUUUCCAAAGCCGAGGCCUCAGGACAAAGAGAUGACAGGAUGGGGUUAGAGCCAGAUGCCCCCACACCUCCUCCCACCCGCCAGCUGAAUGACACCAACUGCUGAAUAACAGUUCCCCAGGGGAUGGGGAGGAAGACGAGUCGGAGCCCAGGAGAUCUUAUGUGCAACCAGGUCUGCAAAGAGGCCCACGUGCAGGUAGAAGGACAGGGCUCCUCAAGGACCCUAAACUCCACUGUCGGAGGAAUUUGUGCCUCUGUCUCUCCUGAAGCCUGGGAGGCACACUGAGACCCCACAGAAGAAAGGCCCGCAUGCUGUAUCUCGGAGAGCCUCAUCCAGUUGACAGAAUGGGCUCAUGUUUCUGAGGGUGAUCCAGGAAGUGAGAGGCCAUGGCACAGCCUGGGAACAUACAGGUCUGUGUGCUCAGGAAGAGCACCAAAGCACGGACUUGGCUAGAUCUGAGAGGCCCUCAAAGAUCUCACAGCCGGCCCGUCCGGACUGACAACCAAAGGAACAGCGAAGACAAGAGGCAUCGAUCGAGUGGAGGCCAGCGAGAAGUGGUGAUGGCCAGGACUUCCCCAGUGGCCUAGGGGUUAAGGACCCAGUGCUUUUACAGCUGCAGCCUGGGUUCGAUCCUUGGUCUAGGAACUGAGAUCCCACAUUAAGCCAGUGUGGAGUUCCCACGGUGGCUCAGUGGGAUUGGUAACAUCUCUGCAGUGCCAGGAUGCACGCUCAAUCCCCGGCCUGGCACAGAGGGUUAAAGGCUCCAGCACUGCAGUUGUCACAGCUGCAACAUAGAUCGCAACUGUGGCUCAGAUCUGGUCCCUGGCCCAAGAACUCCAUAUGCUGCAGGGUGGCUGAAAAAGGGAAAAAAAAAAAAAAAAAAAAACACAAAAAAAGAAGGGGUGAUGGCCAAGUCCACAUUUCCUAACCCAAGCGCUCUGGGUUUCUAUGAGCCACACAAGUCACACGGCGCUAGAUAUAACCGCAGAGAAGAGGCAGAAGUAUCUGCUUUUUCUGAGCUUAGGUAUCCAACAGGAGGCAGACUGAGGGGAGUUCCUGUCGUGGCUGAGCAGUAAUGAACCCGACUAGUAUCCAUGAGGAUGCAGGUUCGAUCCCUGGCCCCACUCAGUGGGUUAAGGAUCUAGCGUUGCCAUGAGCUGCAGUGUAGGUCACAGCCAAGGCUUGGAUCUGGCAUGCCUUAGCCCAGGAACUUCCAUGUACUUCGGGUGCAGCCCUAAAAAAGACCAAAAAAAAAAAAAAAGGCAGAAUGAAGAUUCAAAACAGAAAUUAAAUCGGUCAAUAGGAAAAAAAAAAACAAAAACUAUGCGAGCGGAAAGGUGUACCUCUUGUGCUAAAGACCAGCCUAUGUCCAAGAUCCCGUGUUUCCAAAGAGAAGAGGCUGGAAGGAUCAGCAGGGAGGAGCCUGACUUUAGCACUGAGAAUGGAAGGGAGUUUCCCCUGGGCUCUAGAGUGCCCUGGACAGAGGGAGAAUCUGCGCGGAGGCACAAAGAUAGGAGGGGGCAUCUAGAGGAAAGAAAGUGAUUUGCUGUGGCUGCUCUUAGGGGACAGCUUGGGGCCCAGGUGGAAAGGAAAAACUCGGUGGGACCAUGAAGAUUAUUCAGAAGCUCUAGGACUUUAGAAGGAACAUUCCAGCAGCUGCAGAUAGAAGUGAUUUGGAAGGGAGAGUGAAAGACCUAAAAUUAGAGGCUGCAGGUCCAAACUAGAUCAGGCAGAAAAUGAAAAGACAAGUGACUACAGGAGAAAGCACAUCAGAAUGAAUCUAAAGAAGACACCCCAAAAGGAAUAAAUAUGGAAGAACAGGCAGAAAUAGAUUGAAAUGACAUUUAGUUCACUCAUAGGACUCCUAGUUGUGUGUUGAAUUCGGGGUUGUUUCUCACCUAGACUAUAACCAGCACAGUCAGAGUGGGAUACAAUCCCCUGAACUGCUUACCAGUGUGUUGUAAGCCUGCUAUGCUAGCCCUUACACGCUAAGAGCAUUCGGGAGAAACACGUAUGUAUAUAUCCUAGCAUGGAUAUUUAUAGACCUUUUAUUUUUAGACAAUAUUUUAGAGAUAAAUAAAAUUAUAAUGGAACAACUCUGCACAGCUAUGAUUAAAAGACUGUGCUGUCAUUAUAAAAUAAAAUUAAAUUUUAAAAAAAGAAAGACUGUUCUGGAGUCAUGCUGUCCUUAAAUUUGAUUACUGGCUACACCGCUUAGCAGCUGUGUGACACGAAGGAAGUUACUCAGUUCUUCUAAGCUUUAGUUUCCUCAUCAGUAAAACAAGAAAGAUAACGGAACCACCUCUUUGGGUUCUCAUCAGAAUUAAAACAGUAUAAUACAGGGGAGUUCCCUGGUGGUCUAGUGGUUAGGACUCGGUGCUUUCAUUGCUCUGGCCUGGGUUCCAUCCCUGGUCUGGGAACUGAGAUCCCACAUCAAGCUCCUGCACAGCAAGGCCAAAAAAGAAAAAAGAAAAGAAAAUCUUAUAUACCUGAUAUAUCACAAUAAAAACAUCAGAUAUAUGACAUAAUAUAUCUGAACAGUGCCUGACUUAUACCAAGUGCUAUAUUGGCUGUUAUUCUUUCGAGGACUGAGACAACCCAUGCAAAACACUUAGUGUUCUGCCUGGCACAGCAUGUGCCAUCAUUAGAUGGUGGCCAUUACCAUAAUUACGAGGCAAAGUCACUCAACACACCCUUCUCCUUGUUCAGCCCACAAGGGGCCGUGAUGGCAGCAGCAGGGGGCUGGACGCUCGCUGCUAGAGCAGCUGUGCUGGUAAACAAAGCUUCAGCUGCCACUGAGCUGUCCUCCCAGAAAGGCUGGACUUGCUCCUGCCCAGCUCUGACAAGGGAGGGAACCAUCUCCCGUAAAAAGCCUUUUAGUAUCUAUCUCCGCUUUCCUCUCUUGGUCUUGUGGAAGAACAGACUCAGGCACAGGGCAAGGCCGGAAACACUUACUUGCUCCCUGCAGGGCUCUCAACAGGCUGACGCUGCACAGUCUUUAUGGAGCAGCACUGUCCUUCUCCUGAUGGCUGCUGGAGUCAGGCCUUGCCACCACAGCUGCCUUCCUCUCCUUUCUACGAGCUGAAUGUUAGUCCUCCCAGGAUGGGGUGAUGACAUCCUUUGUCAUGUCAGAGAAUUUCCACACGAAAGCACCUCAAAAAUCCAUACAGGAGUUCCCUUGUGGCACAGCAGGUUAAGGAUCCAGCAUUGUCACUGCAGCGGUUCGGGUCACUGUGGUGGCAUGGGUUUGAUCCCUGGCCUAAGAACUUCCACAUGCUGCAAGUGUGGCCAAAAAACAAAAGAAAAAAACCCAUACAAUUUGCCCUUCUAAUAGACUUUAUUUCUAGAGCAAUUUUAGGGCCACAGCAAACUGAGUGCAGAGAUUUUCCCACAUAAUCCCCGGCCCCACACAGACAGGCAGUCUCCUCUCCCCCAGAGCGGUACACGGGCUUCAGCAUGAUUACACAAAGCCCACAGGUGAAAAGGGGGUUCACUCUUGGUGGAAUACAUUCCACGGGUUUGAACGAAUGUAUACCAACAUGCAUCCACCACUCUCGUAUCAUCCAGAAUAGGUUCACUGCCCCCAGACCCUUGGUGCUCUGCCUCUUAUUCCCCCCCCUUAUCUUUUUAUCAUUCUUUGGUUUUGCCCUUUCCAGAAUGUCACAUACUUGGAAUUAUACAGUAUGAAGCCUUUUGGGUUUGGCCUCUUUUACUUCACAAUAUGCAUGUAAGUUUCCUUUUUAUGGCUUGAUGGAUUAUUUCCUUCCAGCGCUGAAUAAUAUUCCAGUGUCUAGACAUAUGGCAGGUCCCUUACCCAUUCAUCUACCGAAGGACAUCUUGGCUGUUUCCAAGUUUCUGUAAUUAUGAAUAAAGCUUCUACAAACAUUCAUGCAGAGGCCCUUGUGCAUGCACCACUUUUCAGUUCACUUGGGUAGAAACCAAGUUGCACGAUGCAGGGUCAUAUGGUGAGGAGCAACUGCCCUUGCUCAAACCUGUACAGUCUAGUUUGCUAGGUCAACUCUUAUUGGCUGAGAGCACAUG
rnacentral:lncRNA from 1 species